rnacentral:rRNA from 1 species
GACGAACGCUGGCGGCGCGCUUAACACAUGCAAGUCGAGCGAGAACCAGGGCUUCGGCCCUGGGGACAGCGGCGAACGGGUGAGUAACACGUGGAUAACCUGCCCUCGGCACCGGGAUAGCCCGGGGAAACCCGGAUUAAUACCGGAUGGCCCUUCCGGCUCACGAGCCGGUCGGAAAAGGUAGCUUCGGCCUCCGGCCGAGGAUGGGUCCGCGGCGGAUUAGCUUGUUGGUGGGGUAACGGCCCACCAAGGCUCCGAUCCGUAGCUGGUCUGAGAGGACGAUCAGCCACACUGGGACUGAGACACGGCCCAGACUCCUACGGGAGGCAGCAGUGGGGAAUCUUGCGCAAUGGGCGAAAGCCUGACGCAGCGACGCCGCGUGAGGGAGGAAGGCCUUCGGGUUGUAAACCUCUUUCAGGAGGGACGAAGCUACUCGGGUGAAUAGCCCAGAGGGUGACGGUGCCUCCAGAAGAAGCCCCGGCUAACUACGUGCCAGCAGCCGCCGUAA